CGUGGUACUAUUUACUCUUUUUUUUUUUUUUUUUCUUUCUUUUUUUUUUUGGACUGUAUAUACACGUUUCUAUUUUUAUAGUAUUUAUACUGAUUCUCAUUUGAUCUUUCUUCAAAUUAGGUUGAAAAUUUGGUGGAGUCGGAUUCUCGUUUGUGAAGGGUGUAUCAAAGGUGGUGUGGGAAUGGCAAGUGGAAGGUUCAAGGAAAAAGAAGGUGGUUAUUGGCAGUGUGAAUAAUGGUGCAGCUGUGAAUAAAUCAUAUGGCUAAAAGCAUCAAGUUGGUGAGAUACAGAAUAUGAUCAUUUGGAGAUUCAACGUUUUGACAAGUUAUCUAUUGAUUUCCAGUUUUGGAUUAUGAUGAUUGAAGUAAAUGUUAGUACACUCCUGUCCUCUACUUGUAUGUGUGAAGUUACUCUGUAUCAUGCAAUUGAGACAACUUUGUAGUUGCAUUUGGAAGACUAGGCACAUGUCCACAAAAGCCCCAAGAGGCCCUUAGAAGUUUGUAUUAGAACGUCCAUGUUACCAGAAGAAAAUUGUGUUGUAUUAGUUAUGCCGGAGACGAUUUGAGGGGAAAAUUUAGCCAUUGUCAGGGGCUUGUUUCAACUUUCAACAGCUACAUCUUGUUAUAACUGAUUGCUGUACAUCUACAUCCCUUUUCUAACGCUAUUUUUGAGCAGCAACUGGCCAAGAAGCAUUUUUUUCCUAGCAGGCAGUGUUUCUGGUCUUCAGUUGGUAGUUUUGGUCAUAAAGCUGAUUAACUCUGGAAGAUAGCUAAGACAGAAUUAAGUUAGAAUUCUACGGAGUACAAAAUUGCAGACGUACACACCAUAAAGCCCACGAUCCCCCUGGAAACAGUAUCAAUCUAGCAAGGAAACAUCAUAAAUUUUUCAUUUGUGUGGAAUACCUCUCAUGUAUCAAUCUUGUAAUUACCUCGUAUAUUUAUAUUUUCAUUUCAUUUUACAUAAGAAAUUUGUUGGGAAGCUUGCGCUGUUUUCAUAAUUUGUGCUUGUAGCAUCUCAUUGACAUUCUUGAGUGGAAUGGGAUGCUAUUUGCCGACUUAUAUUGCAUGUCGCAUCUUAUAAAUGAGAUUUUGUAGUCCUACGAAUCUGUUGAUUGUGUUCAGUAAGCAGUGGAAUGGUCUCCACAUUGUGCUGUCAAUGUACAUGUAUCUGGUGUCUA